rnacentral:rRNA from 1 species
CUUGGAGGAAUGNAUAGCAAUAGCUAAUUGCACUAGGAAUGUUAGUGUAAAAUCGACUAUGUUGAAUAAAAUUCUGGGUAGGCUUUUGAUGAUGACAUUAUCUGCUCAUAAGUCUUGACCAAAUUACGUGCCAGCAGUCGCGGUAAUACGUAGAAGACAAGUGUUAUUCAUCUUUAAUAGGUUUAAAGGGUACCUAGACGGGAAAUAAAGCCUCNAAAAGGGACUUAUUUUCUAGAGUUUUAUGUGAAGAAGUAUUAAAGUACUAGAGGUGCAGAGAUGAAAUUCAGUCAUACCUUGAUGGCACAGGUUAAGGCAAAGGCGUCUUCUUAUGUAAAAACUGACGUUGAGGGACGAAGGCUUUGUGUCUCGAACAGGAUUAGAUACCCUAGUAGUCUAAGCAGACAAUGAUGAAUGUCAUAGAUUAGAUGUAAUUUGAUCUAUAAAUGAAAGUGUAAGCAUUCCACCUCAAGAGUAAUUUGGCAACAUUGGAACUGAAAUCAUUAGACCGUUUCUGAAACCAGUAGUGAAGUAUGUUGUUUAAUUUGAUAACCCGCAAAAAACCUUACCACAAUUUGAAUAGAUAUAUUUUAUCAUACCAGCGUUGCACGGCUGUCUUCAGUUAAUGUCGUGAGACUAUGGUUAGUUCCAUUAAUUAACGUAAACCCAUAUUUUAUUUUAAGAUAAAGUAGUUCACCGCUAGAUUGGAUGUGAUNAUAHGGAUCNAGACAAGUCACCA